rnacentral:rRNA from 1 species
UAAUACAUGCAGUCGAGCGAAUGGAUUAAGAGCUUGCUCUUAUGAAGUUAGCGGCGGNNGGUGAGUAACACGUGGGUAACCUGCCCAUAAGACUGGGAUAACUCCGGGAAACCGGGGCUAAUACCGGAUAACAUUUUGAACCGCAUGGUUCGAAAUUGAAAGGCGGCUUCGGCUGUCACUUAUGGAUGGACCCGCGUCGCAUUAGCUAGUUGGUGAGGUAACGGCUCACCAAGGCAACGAUGCGUAGCCGACCUGAGAGGGUGAUCGGCCACACUGGGACUGAGACACGGCCCAGACUCCUACGGGAGGCAGCAGUAGGGAAUCUUCCGCAAUGGACGAAAGUCUGACGGAGCAACGCCGCGUGAGUGAUGAAGGCUUUCGGGUCGUAAAACUCUGUUGUUAGGGAAGAACAAGUGCUAGUUGAAUAAGCUGGCACCUUGACGGUACCUAACCAGAAAGCCACGGCUAACUACGUGCCAGCAGCCGCGGUAAUACGUAGGUGGCAAGCGUUAUCCGGAAUUAUUGGGCGUAAAGCGCGCGCAGGUGGUUUCUUAAGUCUGAUGUGAAAGCCCACGGCUCAACCGUGGAGGGUCAUUGGAAACUGGGAGACUUGAGUGCAGAAGAGGAAAGUGGAAUUCCAUGUGUAGCGGUGAAAUGCGUAGAGAUAUGGAGGAACACCAGUGGCGAAGGCGACUUUCUGGUCUGUAACU